AUGGAGAAAAACGAAAGGACGGUGCCUGCCGCCCCCGGAGACCGCGCCUCUGGCGGUGCCGCGUCCUGCUCGCUGGACCCCUCAGGGCCCUGGGGGGGGGGGUCUCCAGCCCCGGCUGCGGCCCCGCCCCUCUGUACCGCUCGUCCCCGCCCCGCGGCCAAGACCAGGGGCGCGCACUGCAGCCGGGGCCGGGCCGCUCGCUCGCCUCCGCCGCCCUCGCCGCCGCGUCCCGCUAAUGCUGAUGCGCCUCUAAGCAGCCCCCGGUCCCGGAGCCCCUCCCCCCAACCCGUCCCGGAGCACAUCCCCCCCCCGUCCCGGAGCUCCCCUGUCCCGGGCGGCGGGCGGCGGGCGGCGGGCGGCGCUCCUGGGGCACCUGCCGCCCUGCGCGGGGACCCGCCUCGCAUCCCGCCCGCGCGCCGAUCCCUGCGGGGAGGUCCGACUCCGUGGGGUCCCCCGCCCGUGUCCGUGGGCUCCUCCCCGCCCGUGUCUGUAGGCUCUUCCCACACCAGUGUCCGUGGGCACCUUUCCCUCGUGUCCGUGGAUCCCUCCCGCCCGUGUCCGUGGGCUCCUUCCCCCCGUGUCCGUGGAUCCCUCCCGCCCGUGGGCUCCUCCCCGCCCGUGUCCGUGGGCUCCUCCCCACUUGCGUCCAUGGGAUCUCCCCCACCCGUGUCCGUGGGUCGUCCUCUCGUCCCCCCGCCCCUCUCCUCCCCGGGUGCGUUCUCCUCCCCUCCUCCCGUCUCCCUCCCUCCCUCCCCUCCCCUCCCCCCUCCUCUCCUCCCCGCGGGGGGCAGCCGGGGGCGGGGUGCGGGGGUGCGGGGCGCGGUCCGGGCCGUGGGGCGGCGGCGGCGGCCUGCGCGGCGGCGGGCGUCCCGGGCGGGCCCCGGGUGCGGUGACAUCACCGCCCGCCUCCCCGCCCGGUGCUGCCUCCGCGAGGCGCGUCGGUUGGGCCGUUUGCCCGCGUCCGCCGCCGCCAGGGCUCGUCCGGCCGGGCUCGGAGCCGGCAGCGCGGAGCGACGGGACCCGGAGGAGGAGCGAGGCGCGGGCGGGCGGCGCGGGCGGGAGCCCCCGGCGGCGGCAUGA
rnacentral:lncRNA from 1 species